rnacentral:rRNA from 1 species
UACGGGGGGGGCAAGCGUUGUUCGGAUUCAUUGGGCGUAAAGGGUGUGUAGGUGGCGCGCUAAGUCGGGUGUGAAAUUUCGGAGCUUAACUCCGAAACUGCAUUCGAUACUGGCGUGCUUGAGGACUGGAGAGGAGACUGGAAUUCAUGGUGUAGCAGUGAAAUGCGUAGAGAUCAUGAGGAAGACCAGUGGCGAAGGCGGGUCUCUGGACAGUUCCUGACACUGAGACACGAAGGCUAGGGGAGCAAACGGG